rnacentral:rRNA from 1 species
ACGAUGAACUGGCGCUUGCGUCGGGGAUUAGUGGCGAACGGGUGANUAACACGUGAGUAACCUGCCCUUAACUCUGGGAUAAGCCUGGGAAACUGGGUCUAAUACCGGAUAUUGACUUUUCACCGCAUGGUGUUUUGUUGAAAGCUUUAGUGGUUUUGGAUGGACUCGCGGCCUAUCAGCUUGUUGGUGAGGUAAUGGCUUACCAAGGCGACGACGGGUAGCCGGCCUGAGAGGGUGACCGGCCACACUGGGACUGAGACACGGCCCAGACUCCUACGGGAGGCAGCAGUGGGGAAUAUUGCACAAUGGGCGAAAGCCUGAUGCAGCGACGCCGCGUGAGGGAUGACGGCCUUCGGGUUGUAAACCUCUUUCAGUAGGGAACAAGGCCACACGUUGUGUGGUUGAGGGUACUUGCAGAAGAAGCGCCGGCUAACUACGUGCCAGCAGCCGCGGUAAUACGUAGGGCGCAAGCGUUAUCCGGAAUUAUUGGGCGUAAAGAGCUCGUAGGCGGUUUGUCGCGUCUGCCGUGAAAGUCCGGGGCUCAACUCCGGAUCUGCGGUGGGUACGGGCAGACUAGAGUGAUGUAGGGGAGACUGGAAUUCCUGGUGUAGCGGUGAAAUGCGC